rnacentral:rRNA from 1 species
CUACGGGUUGCACCAGUGAGGAAUAUUGCACAAUGGGGGGAACCCUGAUGCAGCAACGCCGCGUGGAGGAUGACGCAUUUCGGUGUGUAGACUCCUUUUAUAUGUCAAGAAAAUGACGGUAGCAUAUGAAUAAGCACCGGCUAACUCCGUGCCAGCAGCCGCGGUAAUACGGAGGGUGCAAGCGUUACUCGGAAUCACUGGGCGUAAAGGACGCGUAGGCGGGUUGGAAAGUCAGGUGUGAAAUCCUACAGCUUAACUGUAGAACUGCACUUGAAACUUCUAAUCUAGAGUAUGGGAGGGGGAGAUGGAAUUAAUGGUGUAGGGGUAAAAUCCGUAGAUAUCACUAGGAAUACCUAAAGCGAAGGCGAUCUCCUGGAACAUUACUGACGCUAAGGCGUGAAAGCGUGGGGAGCAAACAGGAUUAGAUACCCCAGUAGUC